CCCUGUGACUGCGGCUCCUGUGAUUGUGGCUCCUGUGAUUGUGGCUCCUGUGAUUGUGGCUCCUGUAAUUGUGGCCCCUGUGAUUGUAUUAUUCAGUGAAUGUUUGCAGCAUAUUGGACAGACAGUAUUAAGUGAUUCAUCUCUCCGGAGUAGAUGGAUUUGUGGAGACAACGAGCACUCAGGACCGGUUUCAGGGGUUUCAAGACGACAACGAUGUGAUCUACAGUAAACUUCAGGACGUCUUGAACAUCAUAAAGACAAUAUUACAUAAAUACAGUUCCAGCCAGAGAUGCUCUUCAUACUACAGCCACUGUGUAACCGAUACAGAUAUAUGGUUUUUUUCUCUCCUUUAUUAAAAAUAUUUCCUAACAGUU